rfam:Chelonia mydas contig178372, whole genome shotgun sequence.
UAGAACAAUGUAGGUAAGGGAAAUUGGCAAGCCGGAUCUAUAACUUCGGGAUAAGGAUUGGCUGUAAGGGCUGGGUCGGUUGGGGCUGGGUGCGAGCCGCAACUGGAUGAGGCGCCGCCCUCUCCGGGGGGGCGGCGGCGACACUGGACGUGAGCCGGGCCCUUCCUGUGGAUCGCCCCAGCUGUGGCGGGCAUUGCUCGCCUCUCCCCCUCUGUGGGGAUGGUGGGGGCCAGCAGCUGACUUAGAACUGGUGUGGACCAGGGGAAUCCGACUGGAUUUACUUAGUUUUCAAACAUUGUUCA